AAAUUGAAGAGUUUGAUCAUGGCUCAGAUUGAACGCUGGCGGCAGGCCUAACACAUGCAAGUCGAGCGGUAGCACAGAGAGCUUGCUCUCGGGUGACGAGCGGCGGACGGGUGAGUAAUGUCUGGGAAACUGCCUGAUGGAGGGGGAUAACUACUGGAAACGGUAGCUAAUACCGCAUAACGUCGCAAGACCAAAGUGGGGGACCUUCGGGCCUCAUGCCAUCAGAUGUGCCCAGAUGGGAUUAGCUGGUAGGUGGGGUAACGGCUCACCUAGGCGACGAUCCCUAGCUGGUCUGAGAGGAUGACCAGCCACACUGGAACUGAGACACGGUCCAGACUCCUACGGGAGGCAGCAGUGGGGAAUAUUGCACAAUGGGCGCAAGCCUGAUGCAGCCAUGCCGCGUGUGUGAAGAAGGCCUUCGGGUUGUAAAGCACUUUCAGCGGGGAGGAAGGCGGUGAGGUUAAUAACCUCAUCGAUUGACGUUACCCGCAGAAGAAGCACCGGCUAACUCCGUGCCAGCAGCCGCGGUAAUACGGAGGGUGCAAGCGUUAAUCGGAAUUACUGGGCGUAAAGCGCACGCAGGCGGUCUGUCAAGUCGGAUGUGAAAUCCCCGGGCUCAACCUGGGAACUGCAUUCGAAACUGGCAGGCUAGAGUCUUGUAGAGGGGGGUAGAAUUCCAGGUGUAGCGGUGAAAUGCGUAGAGAUCUGGAGGAAUACCGGUGGCGAAGGCGGCCCCCUGGACAAAGACUGACGCUCAGGUGCGAAAGCGUGGGGAGCAAACAGGAUUAGAUACCCUGGUAGUCCACGCCGUAAACGAUGUCGAUUUGGAGGUUGUGCCCUUGAGGCGUGGCUUCCGGAGCUAACGCGUUAAAUCGACCGCCUGGGGAGUACGGCCGCAAGGUUAAAACUCAAAUGAAUUGACGGGGGCCCGCACAAGCGGUGGAGCAUGUGGUUUAAUUCGAUGCAACGCGAAGAACCUUACCUGGUCUUGACAUCCACAGAACUUUCCAGAGAUGGAUUGGUGCCUUCGGGAACUGUGAGACAGGUGCUGCAUGGCUGUCGUCAGCUCGUGUUGUGAAAUGUUGGGUUAAGUCCCGCAACGAGCGCAACCCUUAUCCUUUGUUGCCAGCGGUUCGGCCGGGAACUCAAAGGAGACUGCCAGUGAUAAACUGGAGGAAGGUGGGGAUGACGUCAAGUCAUCAUGGCCCUUACGACCAGGGCUACACACGUGCUACAAUGGCAUAUACAAAGAGAAGCGACCUCGCGAGAGCAAGCGGACCUCAUAAAGUAUGUCGUAGUCCGGAUUGGAGUCUGCAACUCGACUCCAUGAAGUCGGAAUCGCUAGUAAUCGUAGAUCAGAAUGCUACGGUGAAUACGUUCCCGGGCCUUGUACACACCGCCCGUCACACCAUGGGAGUGGGUUGCAAAAGAAGUAGGUAGCUUAACCUUCGGGAGGGCGCUUACCACUUUGUGAUUCAUGACUGGGGUGAAGUCGUAACAAGGUAACCGUAGGGGAACCUGCGGUUGGAUCACCUCCUUA
rnacentral:rRNA from 1 species